UACGAAGGUGGCAAGCGUUGUUCGGAUUUACUGGGCGUACAGGGAGCGUAGGCGGUUGGAUAAGCCCUCCGUGAAAUCUCCAGGCUUAACCUGGAAAGUGCAGAGGGGACUGUUCAGCUAGAGGAUGGGAGAGGAGCGCGGAAUUCCCGGUGUAGCGGUGAAAUGCGUAGAGAUCGGGAGGAAGGCCGGUGGCGAAGGCGGUUCUCUGGGACGGUACUGACGCUGAGACGCGAAAGCGUGGGGAGCGAACAGG
rnacentral:rRNA from 1 species